GACGAACGCUGGCGGCGUGCUUAACACAUGCAAGUCGAACGGAAAGGCCCUGCUUUUGUGGGGUGCUCGAGUGGCGAACGGGUGAGUAACACGUGAGUAACCUGCCCUUGACUUUGGGAUAACUUCAGGAAACUGGGGCUAAUACCGGAUAGGAGCUCCUGCUGCAUGGUGGGGGUUGGAAAGUUUCGGCGGUUGGGGAUGGACUCGCGGCUUAUCAGCUUGUUGGUGGGGUAGUGGCUUACCAAGGCUUUGACGGGUAGCCGGCCUGAGAGGGUGACCGGCCACAUUGGGACUGAGAUACGGCCCAGACUCCUACGGGAGGCAGCAGUGGGGAAUAUUCCACAAUGGGCGGAAGCCUGAUGCAGCAACGCCGCGUGCGGGAUGACGGCCUUCGGGUUGUAAACCGCUUUCGCCUGUGACGAAGCGUGAGUGACGGUAAUGGGUAAAGAAGCACCGGCUAACUACGU
rnacentral:rRNA from 1 species